UACAGAGGGGGCAAGCGUUGUUCGGAAUUACUGGGCGUAAAGGGCGCGUAGGCGGCCUGUUAAGUCGAACGUGAAAUCCCCGGGCUCAACCCGGGAACUGCGUCCGAUACUGGCAGGCUUGAAUUCGGGAGAGGGAUGUGGAAUUCCAGGUGUAGCGGUGAAAUGCGUAGAUAUCUGGAGGAACACCGGUGGCGAAGGCGGCAUCCUGGACCGAUAUUGACGCUGAGGUGCGAAAGCGUGGGGAGCAAGCAGG
rnacentral:rRNA from 1 species